CCUACGGGAGGCUGCAGUGAGGAAUAUUGGUCAAUGGGCGCGAGCCUGAACCAGCCAAGCCGCGUGAAGGAUGACUGCCCUACGGGUUGUAAACUUCUUUUAUAAAGGAAUAAAGUGAGGCACGUGUGCCUUUUUGUAUGUACUUUAUGAAUAAGGAUCGGCUAACUCCGUGCCAGCAGCCGCGGUAAUACGGAGGAUCCGAGCGUUAUCCGGAUUUAUUGGGUUUAAAGGGAGCGUAGAUGGGUUGUUAAGUCAGUUGUGAAAGGUAGGGGCUCAACCGUAAAAUUGCAACUGAUACUGGCAGCCUUGAGUCUAGUUGAGGUAGGCAGAAUUCGUGGUGUAGCGGUGAAAUGCUUAGAUAUCACGCAGAACUCCGAUUGCGAAGGCAGCUUACUAAACUAACACUGACAUUGAGGCUCGAAAGUGUGGGUAUCAAACAGGAUUAGAUACCCUUGUAGUC
rnacentral:rRNA from 1 species